GAGGGUAUAGUUCAGUGGUUAGAGUGAGUGCUUAGCAUGCACGAGGUCCUGGGUUCAAUCCCCAGUACUGCCA
rnacentral:tRNA from 1 species